rnacentral:rRNA from 1 species
AGCUCCAAUAGCGUAUGUUAAUGUUGUUGCGGUUAAAAAGCUCGUAGUUGGAUCUCGGCGGAUAGGGGGCGGUUCGAUAUUUGUCGGUACUGCUCCAUUUACCCGUGUUUUUGACAGAGGGUUCAGGGUGCUCUUAAUCGAGUGUCCUGGGCUGCUGUCAGGUUUACUUUGAAAAAAUUAGAGUGCUCAAAGCAGGCUUUACACGCUUGAAUAUUCGUGCAUGGAAUAAUAGAAUAGGAUGUGAUUUCUAUUUUGUUGGUUUUCGGAAAUUCACAUAAUGAUUAAUAGGGACAGUCGGGGGCAUUAGUAUUCAGACGAUAGAGGUGAAAUUCUUGGACCGUCUGAGGACUAACUACUGCGAAAGCAUUUGCCAAGAAUGUUUUCAUUAAUCAAGAACGAA